rfam:Schistosoma rodhaini strain Burundi genome assembly, scaffold: SROB_scaffold0008334
AGCUUUCUGAAUCCGUGCAGAGAUUUAGUCAGACACUAAUCCAUUAGGGCUGGUCAGACUUUCAAGAUAGGUGAAGUU